AAAGAAAAAAAACCUCAAAUGAAAUCUAAAAGCUUAAAGAAACGUUAAAAAAAUUCACAAAAUGGGCCGUGCCGUUCUUGGUUGCUUAAUUGUUUUUUUAACAAAAGUUCUUGGUUUAAAUUCUGAUGAUUAUACCAUUAAAAGUUUUACUAACUUUUACAAGCUUGUUGAUAAUAAAAUUUUACCCCAAUAUGAAGACUUUGAAGGUGUAACAGAGCUAUCUACUUGUAUAACAAUGUGUGGAUGCAAGGGAAGUAGUUUGGCUGCUUUUGAAAAUGAGACAAAAAGUUGUUUUUGUGGUGAAGGCACAAUUAAAAAAUGUGAUAGUGAUUAUUGCAUUUCAGUUUAUGAUUCCUCUGGUUAUAAUGUUUCAUUUUCCAAAAGACCUCCCUCAAAAGUAAAAAUAAAUACACCAUUUGAAACUACUGUUUCUUCUUUAAGUAAUAUGAAAGUGAUUGGUUUACUAGUAAAUAAUAGGCUUGCAAUGUAUUCAUCUAAUUUGUUGUCUCUUUUAAUUGGGAUGCCUGGAAACUACUCAAUGAUUGUUGAAGCAAGUGCUUUUUAUGGAUGUCCAAAUGAUAUCCAUAAAAUAACAGCUGAAGUUGGAGAAACUGUUUGUUAUUUUACUUUACCAGCUCAGAUCAAAUCUGAAAAUACAACAUUUAUAAUAUCUUUUCAUCUUACUGGCCCAGAUACAUUGAAAAAAGUUAGAAUUAAAUCAAUUGAAGGAAUUACAGAGGAGUUCACAGAAUUUUUAAAUCCAACAGCAUCGAUUUAUGUGGAAAUUGGUGGAAAUACUGAAACAGAUAGAUAUGAAGACUAUAAAGUUACAUUUAGCAAGAAUAAGCGAACAGCUGUUAUUGUUAGUCUUGAUCAUCAAAUAUCAUUUGCUGGUGAAAUAACAGGAUUUAGUGCUCAAAUCACUGUGCUUGGAGAUAUUAGAUUUUUGAUAUUAGAACCAUCUUGUAAUUUGUUAACCAAUGGGACUGCAAAGAAAAUGUGCUUUCUCACUAAAAAAUGUGUAGAACUAUCUGAUCCUUGCCCAAUCUAUUCUAAUGUUUAUUAUUCACCUGAUUUUAAUAAUAUUUUUUAUCCUGGUUGGAAUCAAUUUGGAUCUGCAAAUUCAAAGUUUCCAAAUAAUUUGACUCCUCGAUUAUCAUCAAACAUAAUGUUUAAACUUGUUUACAGCUUUCAAGUCAGUGCUGCAGUCUUAGGUCAGAAUGAUUUUGCAGUGCCAACUGAUAAACGAUUUACAACUUCUGCAGGUCAAUUUUUAGCAUGGAUGCCCGAUUAUAGUAAUAAUAAUCCUGGAGAUAUUGCUUAUAGUUCAAUUGAUUCAACAAGCCAGUUCCAAUCAAUUCACUAUAAGGAGGUAUUUUCUAUUUUCGAGGACCAAAUGUUUUUGGAUUACCAAUCUUCAGUUGAGAUAUCUGACACUGAGCAUAUGGUUAGCUUAUAUUUGGAAAUUCCAUCCAUUUAUUUUAUAGAACACACAGCUGACUAUCCUGAUGGAACUGAUUUUGUUGUAGAAGCUUAUGUAACAGAUUCAAAUGGUGCUGAAAAAAUGUUAUGUACUGCAAAGACAACUAUUGUAGCUGACAUAAAAAAUUUGUCAUUAUCUACUUUUGAUUUAUUAACAUAUGUAAUGAUAGAUAAAGUUGUUAUGUUUAAUGUCAGUGCAUUAUCAGGAACUGCAAAAGCAAACUAUGCUGUUUACUGGGAUAAAGAUGCUAGCAGGAAAGUUGAUGUUUAUGAUGAGAUAUUUAAUGUAUCAUAUUUUGGGCAUGUAUUUUCGAAGCCUGGUUCAUAUAAUGUACAUGUAAAAGCUUUUACUGAUUUGAGUUCUCAAAUAACAACUAAUCUUAUAAAUGUGGUUUGUGUUCUUUAUUUGCCAUCUUUUGUUAAUACAAAUGAGGUUUGGCAAAGUGAAAAAAUUAAACCUGUAAAAACAACUGAAGGUGAAGUAAGUGUUGAUGUAGCUUUAACUGGAUGUGGUCUGAUAACAAUCAGUUAUUUUCUUGAAAGCGAUACAUUGCAAAUCAAUGGCAGCUCAAUUCUAUGGCUAAGUGAAAAUUCUUUAUUUGUUAUAAAAUCAAAUCUUUUUCAAACCCAACCACAAACUCUUAAUAUCACUGUCUGUACCACUAAUAUAUUAGAAGCUCAUUGCAUAAAUGAACGAGGAUAUGUAGAGGAUCCAAUUGACAAUUUUGAAUUAGAUCUUACAACAAUGGAAACUAAUGUUGGUGGUUUCCUUAUUGUUUCAAAUAGCACAACCGGUACCAAUAAAACAUAUUGCUUUAAUUGGGGAGAUGGAAGUUCAACUUGCACUAAUGGAACUUAUGAUGUUAUAUCUGUUGAACAUAAAUAUCUUAAAUCUGGCAAUUAUACAAUAUCUGCUCUGGCUUUUAACCGAGUCAGUCAAAUGAAUAUUUUAGUUAUACAAGAAGUACAAGAUAGAAUAUCAAAGUGUACUAUUUCUGCUCAACCUACAAUCUAUAAUAAGUUAACUCAUGUUUAUUUUAAAAUUGAUCGUGGAACUGGAAUAAACAUUGUUUUAGAUUGGGGAAAACCAGAAUAUAAUAAAUACUUUUACUUCAAUAUUGAUGUUUUUGAAAAUUCUCUAACUAAUUUAAAAGAUUUUCCUUCAUUUGUAUUUCCAAUAAAACAAGACUACAAUGUUUGUUUAUUUCUUUCUAAUGAAAUCAAUGAAAAAAUAUGUUGUACUGUUGCAAUUGUAGAAGAUCAGAUUAAAGACUUUCAUAUAUCAGUAAAACAAGAGUUUGAGGGUGCAAAGAAGACUGAUUGGAUUGAGGAGAAUGAAAAUCUUAUUAUAAUGUCUAACCAUAACAAUGAAGCUAAACGUGUUCUUUAUAUGGUAAAUCUAGGAAAUGGAACUAUUUUUAACACUACCUACAAUGUUGUAAACGUAUCAUAUCCAUUUAGGAAUCUGUGUUAUAAUUAUUCAGUAAUUGCCACAAAUCCUGUUUCCCAAGCAUCCAGUUGGACUAAUAUAUGUAUUCAACGUCGUUUAAAUCCAAUAUAUUCUCCAAAAUUUGUUCAUGUUCCAACAAGUUCAAAAGAAGAAAUGUCAAUUAAGUUCACAUUUUUAUCAGGGAAUGAUUUUGAUUGUAUUUUUAAUUUUAAUGAUAAAAGUAAAGAAAAAACAUUCUCGGUUAGUUAUACUGACUUUAUUGGACCAAUUGGUUUUAUAGAGGCAAAACAUCAUUUUUCAGCGGGCGAAUACAAUGUGACAAUUUUUUGUACAAAUCGUCUUUAUGAUAUUUUUUUAUCUACAAUUGUUAUAUCACAGGAUCCUGUCAAUGAACCUCUGUUUGAAAUAAAAGGACGUUGUUAUAAUGGUAGCAUUUUUAAUGAUGUUGUGCCACAGAAGUUUUUCUCAGAUUUGUUUAUUAAUGCUUUUUGCAAUAUUAUAAUUAAUAUAGAGAAUCAACAAGGUUCUAAUGUUAGAGAACGUGGAGAUUUGAUUAUUGAAGGAAAAUAUAAAGGAACAUUUCCUGUAGUUAACAAUACAAUUGAAUUUCAAAAUAGUUUAUGGUCAGGAUUAGACAUGUGUAAUGCAGAGAUAUCUAUUAAUUCAUCUAACUUGGUUAGUCAAAUAAUAUCAAAGCUGAAAACAGUUAAACUUGUUGUGCCUGUUACGAAUUUCAAAGUAACAGUUGAAAGUGGUAUGCAUACAGUUGGCGUACCUAUAAUGUAUACAGUAGAGUUUUUGGGUCCGGUUCCAGGUAAUCCUUGUUUGUCUAUCAAUUUUCAAGAUGGUUCACCUGUUCAAAUUUAUGGUGGCUCAAAUUGUAAAAAUCCCUUAGACAGAUUCCCUAAUCCCUUUACUCGUUCAUAUGCUUUUCAAGCAAAAAAUUCAUAUUUAGUAACUUUUGUGGUAAGUAACCAAAUCUCAAGUAAGACUCAAAAGGUUGUAUUUCGUGUGCUUGAUUACCUUUGCUCAGCUCCACAAAUUAGAUUUGCAAGUUCUGCAGCUAUUAGUGAGGCAUCUCUGGACAGCAAUCAAAAGGCCUACUUUUAUAAAUGCAUGAAUACCACAUUUAAGUAUACUAUGAGAACAAACUGCACUAGACCAAAAACAGUUUUAGUAAAAAAAAUUAUUAUAGAAUAUAAAAUGAACAAUGUAACAUGGCGUAAAGAUGUUGAUGAGUUUUUAGAUGAAAAGUACAUUCUCAUUGGUAAAACUCUCAAAAAUUAUGGUAUAUAUCGAGUUACUUAUUUUGGGCAGAUGGUAGACAAUGUCACAAAAGAGGUUGUUGAAGAUACAAUAUCCAUGAGAAUAGGUUACUUCAAGGUUGUCCCUUGUCCUUUACAAUUAAUUAUUGCUGGUGGAUAUGAGAAAACAUUUCAGCGAGGAGAUGAAAUAGUAAUAGAUGCUACACGAAGUCAUGACCCUGACAGUGACAGCAAGCUUGAUGUUAAAUGGUUUUGUGCUCGCAGUGGUAACUUUAGCGGCUUAGAUAUUUAUAAAGUUAAAGAGAAAAAGAGUUACCCUGUGGUUGAUCCAAACACUUACAAAAGCGAAAAUUUUCUUUCAAAAGCAUGCUUUUCAAAUUCAGAAGGAUCAGCAAUACAAAUGAAUGAUAGAGGGUUAUUAUCACUAAAAUUGGUUCUUCUAAGUAAGUAUUUAUGGUAUUAUUGUUAUGAUUUGCGUUUGUUAAUCAUGAAACGUUAUGAUCCAUUCAAUCGCCAAGCCAUUGGAGAUGUGACAUUAUGUUUAACUGAAAAAGAACCCUUAUAUGUAUCUGUGAAAUGCGAACAAAAUUGUGAUGUCUUGAUUAAUCCCAGCUCAAAGUUUUCUAUAAGUUCAUCAAUUUCAAAUAAAGACAAAUGUGAACAAAUUAUCUAUAAUUGGAAAGUUUUACGUACCUUUAAAACUGGGCUGAACUGUACAUAUGAAGAUAUUACAGAAGAACUUAUAAACAAAUCAACAACAAAGUUUAACCAGCGUAAUUUUGUCCUCGGGCCUAAUUCUUUAAACUCAACUUAUCGAUACAAGUUUCGCGUUAACGCAUCAUGUUCAAAAGGGAUUUUAUCUGGUGCAUCAGGAGCAGCAGCAGAAAUAAAAGAUGUUAACAAUCCUCCAGAUGUAUCAAAGGCAACUUGUAGUGUGUAUCCUAAUAAUGGUUCUGUAGCUAAAUCAGAUUUUGUCAUAAAUUGUGAAGGAGUUGAAGAUGAGCAUUAUCCACUUUCUUAUGGUUUUCAAUACAAUUGCAAAGAUUCAUGGGCUUUUUUAACUACAGCAACAACAGUUUCAAAUGUUACAAGCGGCAAGUUUAAACUACCUCCAAGUAAAAAAGAAAGUGGUAAUUGUUCUUUACGCGUAAUUGCACGUGAUAGUUAUGGUGUUCAAUCUGAUCCAUUUCCAAUGAUACCAUUAGAAGUUCAGGUUUAUGGGACUCCUUCUGAAGAUCUGACUUUGAGCUUGAUUAGGGAACUAAAAUUGAGUAAUUUACCCAACGAACAAUCGUUGUUAGCAAACCGCAUUGUUGUUUUAUUGGAAAUGAAUAGUUCCAUUUCUCUUGAGAAUAAGGAAUUAAUAGGAAAUUACCUUCUUUCUGUUUGGAUCGACACCCCAGAGGAUGCUAACCUGGUUGUACAAAAUAUUCAAACUGAGGGAAAUGAUACAGUUGCUUUGAAAACCCUAGAUAAAGUUUUGGAUCAAUUUAAUAUGCUGAACGCCAAUGAGUUGUCUGACAUAUCUGUCCACAUUUUGGCAAAAACAUCUGCAUUAGGGGGUCGAACUACUAUGGCAUUUGCACUAAGAGUUGAGGAUCGCGUCUUCUCUUCUAUUGUUAAAACACUUGUUGUUGGAGAACCUGCUGCAAGUUCUAAAACACCUUUUGGUGACACACAUAUUUUGCAAAUAGAUGCUGGUGCUCAAAAAAUUGGCGGUUUCAGCUUACCUGAUUUAGGUGGUGGUGGAGCUAUUAACAGUGUCGGUUCAAAUCGUUAUCAAUUUGAUAAAGCUUCAAAAAAUGUAAAAGGAAAAGUUAAAGGUAUGGCUCUCACAAAACCUGAUGGGUCUCAAAAACAGCUUAAAAACCUUACAGAAAAAAUAAAGUUAGUUCUUGAAAAUGACGAAGUUCCGCCUCCAAUGAAGAACUUUACUGCUUACUGUGAGCUUUUGCGCAAUAUUCAUCAAGUUGAGUCCACUGUCAAUUCUUCUAUUAUUGUACUUAACAUUAAACCAACAGAUGAAAAUUUUACUGGAUUUUUCUUUACAUUUAUGAAUAAAGGAAGAUUUCCGUCUUUGUCUGAUAACCAGCAGAAUUGCACUCUUCCAAAUCCUUAUCCAGAAGAUUGGUACAGUUUGUCAAAAGAAAAACAAAGUUAUUGGGAGAGCCAAAAAAAAUGGACUUGUUAUUUCAGUGAAAACGAUCUAAACAAAACAGCUGUUGGAAUUUGGUGCAUAGGAGUCAUCUACUACAACAACACACAUCCUCUCACUAAAUUGUUGUUGCCAGCUUCAUCUACUCCUAGUGAAGAUAAUUGUUCAGCUGUAGGAUAUUUUUUUCAAGCAUAUACUCGUGCAUGCAUGUAUUGGGAUAAGCCUCUUAACACAUGGAACACAGAAGGAUGUGAGACUGAUGAAUAUGAAACAAAUAAUUAUCAAACUGUAUGCCAUUGUGAUCAUUUGACUGAUUUUGGAGGCGGUGGUCCAUUUUCGAAUGCUCAACCACCUGAUUUUGGUGCUCUUAAAAGGUUUGAUUUAGCAAGCAAUCCAACUGUUUUUUCAGUUGUUAUGGCAAUAAUAGGUUUAUAUUUGUUAUUACUUGUAUGGGCAAGAAAAAAGGAUAAAGGUGAUCUUGAAAAGAGCGAGGUGAUUUAUCUACCUGAAAACCACCCUAAUGAUAAAUACUUAUAUGAAAUUAUUGUAGAUACAGGAUUUAAAAAGGGUUGCUCAACAACUGCAGAUGUAGCAAUAUUGAUAACAGGAAGCAGAGGAGAAUCAGGACCAAGAAAAUUGUACAGUCCUAAUCGAAAAUGUUUUCAAAAAUCAGAAACUGAUAUUUUUAUCAUAGCAUUACCAGCUGAUAUUGGUGACCUAAAAGAAGUGGCAAUAUGGCAUAAUAAUGGUGGAGACUCUCCAGGAUGGUUUCUUCUAAGUGUUCAGGUUCGUGACAUGCAAACACAAACGCUAACUAAUUUUAUUUGUAAUCAAUGGUUAGAUGUCACUGAAGAAGAUGGCGCUAUUAUAAGAAAAAUUCAACCAUCAUCCCAAGAAGAUAUUACAGAAUUUAAUUAUCUUUUUUUUGUAACUAUGAUAAAGAACUUUUAUGAUGGACAUAUUUGGUUAUCAAUAUUUACAAGACCUUGUCAUAGCACUUUUACUAGAUGUCAACGUCUAGCCACAUGUAUGUCAUUAUUAAUGACAUCAAUGGUUGCUAAUGCUAUGUUCUAUAAAACAGCCACAGGACCCCCUUCUCCGUCAAUUUCUUUAGGUCCCAUGACACUUUCAAUAAACGAAAUGAAAACAUCGGUGGCCACUGCAAUAAUUGUAGUUCCUUGUAAUCUUUUGAUAAUCUUUCUGUUUAAAAAUGCUGGACCCCAAAAAAAAAGUCACUCAAAGUAUGAACUGAAUAAAAAAGAUGAAGAUAGUACUGUUAUCAAUCUUUUUUUCUGUCUUGAAAAAAAUUCCUUCAACUAUUGGCAGAGAAUCUGUGAUUUACAAACCCCAAACAAGAGAAGAGGAAGAAAAUGAAAUUAAAGAGGUUCUUUUUUCUGAUCCAGAAGUUUUUAAACUCCCUGAUGAAAGAAGGUUAAAUGAAUUUCGUAUUGCACGGCUUAAGGAGAAGCGCAUUCAAUUGGUACUGAAAGAAGUGUUUAAUCAUUUUUCUUUUGUUAUACUGGUGAUAAUUGUAGCUUACUCUUCUGCUGAUCCUUCUUGUUUUUGGUUGUAUAAAUCCACUUUUCAGCUCUGUGCAUCAAAUGGCUUGAUUAAAGACUAUCAUUUUCCAAAAGGAAAAAUUGUUAUUAUACCAUCAGAUCCUUCUUCCGAAACUGUUAUUCCUGCAGCAGC
rnacentral:misc_RNA from 1 species